GGAGACAAACCUUCCGGAAUGUUGUAGUGCUGCAUCUGGCAAGAGCCAGAUGGAAGUAAACUGAUUGAGAGGCUCAAGGGCAAGCACUCAAACUGAAUUCUCAGAGGAAUUACUUACAAACAUGGUUUACCUGUUUGUUUCCUGUGAUGAAUGUGUAGAAGAGGAAGAAGGCAGCUUGUGCUCAGGGAGGAAUGAGUGCAGCCUCUGGGGGCAGGAGGAUGCGGGGCUAAGCGCAGGCCCUGCAUUGCCUGCAUUCAAUCAAGAAGAUAGAAAUUAAAAACAAACAAACGAACAAAAAACAGUGAAGAGCAUUCACUAAGAUGACUGGUGUUUCUGUCAGCUGUCUUGUGGUUGUGACCAAGAGACCUGACAAGAACGAUUUUAGGGGAGGGAAUGUUUAUUUGUCCCUGUUUCGGAGGUCUCGGUCUAUAGACAGCUGGCUGCAUUGCUCAGAUCCUGAGAAGAGGCAGAACAUCAUGGUGGAAAAGUAGAGUGGGAGAAAGCAGCUGGGAAGUUGGUGCCUGAAAGCAAAGAGAGAGAGACUUCUCCUCUCCCCAAGGAGAAAGUGCAAACUUCAAAGUCAUGCCUCCAUGACCCACCUCCUCCAGCCACACGCUACCUGCACACAGGGGAUUAAGGCACUCAUUAGUUAAGACUCUCAUAACCCAAUCGUUUCACCUCUGAAUUUUCUUGCAUUGUAUCACACAUGAGUUUUUCGGGGAACACCUAAUAUCUAAACCAUAACAACUGGCCUACAACUCAAGUGUCAAGGUCCUUACAGGCAAGGAGAGACUGGAAAGCCGUUCCACCAACAGGGCUCAAUGCCUGACUGCAUUGAGCUUCUAAACUUUUUGUUAAGAAGGAAAUUAUUGGAACAGUUGCUAAAAGUGUACUGUGUCUAUUUCUCCAUUUGAAGAUUAUAAAAUAAAAUGUAAAAUAUGAAGCCCAACAGAAUGUAAGGGAAAAAAUAACUGAUGUAUUUUCAAGAGAACAAUGAAGCAAUAGAACAAAUGAAGAUAAAAGUAAUGAAAACAGUCUGAGUUUCUAAGUCACAGGAAAGCUGUCUGUUUCUCUGCUAGAUGUAUGUUCCAAUUAAAAAUUUAAACAUUA